CCAGACUCCUACGGGAGGCAGCAGUGGGGAAUAUUGGGCAAUGGGCGCAAGCCUGACCCAGCAACGCCGCGUGAAGGAAGAAGGCUUUCGGGUUGUAAACUUCUUUUCUGAGGGACGAAGCAAGUGACGGUACCUUAGGAAUAAGCCACGGCUAACUACGUGCCAGCAGCCGCGGUAAUACGUAGGUGGCAAGCGUUAUCCGGAUUUACUGGGUGUAAAGGGCGUGUAGGCGGGAAAGCAAGUCAGAUGUGAAAACCACGGGCUCAACCUGUGGCCUGCAUUUGAAACUGUUUUUCUUGAGUACCGGAGAGGCAGACGGAAUUCCUAGUGUAGCGGUGAAAUGCGUAGAUAUUAGGAGGAACAUCAGUGGCGAAGGCGACUUUCUGGACUGUAACUGACGCUGAGGCACGAAAGUGUGGGGAGCAAACAGGAUUAGAUACCCCGGUA
rnacentral:rRNA from 1 species